rnacentral:rRNA from 1 species
UUUUAUGAGAGUUUGAUCCUGGCUCAGGACGAACGCUGGCGGCGUGCCUAAUACAUGCAAGUCGAACGCUUCUUUUUCCACCGGAGCUUGCUCCACCGGAAAAAGAGGAGUGGCGAACGGGUGAGUAACACGUGGGUAACCUGCCCAUCAGAAGGGGGUAACACUUGGAAACAGGUGCUAAUACCGUAUAACAAUCGAAACCGCAUGGUUUUGAUUUGAAAGGCGCUUUCGGGUGUCGCUGAUGGAUGGACCCGCGGUGCAUUAGCUAGUUGGUGAGGUAACGGCUCACCAAGGCCACGAUGCAUAGCCGACCUGAGAGGGUGA